UAGCACGGACAUGUACAGUGGUAUAAGUACUGUUGAUAUGUCCUUGUUAAUUAUCCCAGUGUCCUCUUCUAGUUUGUCCCCAGGCCUGCAAUCUGCAUCUUCUUAUUGGUAACAGCGUUGUUUCCGCAAAGCUCCAACAGCAAGAGCAAGUGCAACAUUUCAGAGAUCCUCAAAGAUUACAAACUGGUCAUCUUCCAGGACGUCAAGAGCCUGAAUCUCACAGGGCUUGAAUCUUCAAACAAAAACAGGAAUCUGGGAAAUUCUUGCCAGUCUGAUAAGGAAUACAAGAUUCUGCAAUCAAUAUACAAAAUGACCCUUUUACUGAAGUGUCAAGUCAGAGUAAAUAAAAUGAAUGGCGUCAAAGAAGCUGUGCAUAAAAUAACCAUGCAAAUUGAAUCUGCAAUCAGCCAGCACUGCAAGAAAAUGAAUAAGAAAAAGAGUCAACAAAAGGACUCCAGAUGUAAACGGAGAAACUUGAAUAGCCAAAGAAGCAUAAGGAGAUUUAAGAAGGACUUGUCAAAAACCAUUGAGACUCUGGUGCUGUGUUGGGCAAAACUAGACACGAUGCAUUCCCAACAUUAAGAAGAAGUGAGACCUGGGAUUGGACUUGGUAUAUCUGAGGCACUGAGGUGUCAUCACUGGCCAGACAGAGAGUAGAAGGGGAGGUAUUAGAAACUGUGUACAACAGCGUGUCUUUAUCUUUUUAUAAUCUGUGUUUGUAAUCUGUGCACAUGCUUGCUUUAGGCCUAUAAAAUGCAGACAUCCCAUGAUGAAUUUGCACUGCAAAAUUGGCAGUUGUUCAUCAUGCUUUCCCCUUGCUCAUUGUGUGUAUUUAUCAUGGUUAUCCACAGUUUAUAGCAAGCUUAACAAUGCGUAUCUGUGAUUUAGUAUGCUGUACUACACUUUGCUAUGCUCACCUUGGUGUACAACAGGGAUGGGGGAGUUUACACACACAUGUAAAAUAUUUCUGAUUUCAGUAGAUAAAGCUGGCUCACUGCUUGCAUUCAGUGUUUGGGUUCUGCUAAGUUUAAUCCUCUUCUUCCCUUUACAGGUCGGUCGGGUUCGACUGCAUGUUGAGUGGUUCCUAACUGGGACAGUUAUCAUUCUUUAAAUGCACCUGACAAAUGCUCAGUCAGACUGCACUUUUAAAUCUUUCCUAAUGGGCCUGAUAAGUAUUACAAUAGAUCAUAAUAAAGCGGCUAUCUAGAUUUAUAUCUAAUUGUUUAUGAGUACUGUAUUAUUUACUUGUCGAACCUGCUGGGGUCAAGAGAAGGGGUAAUGAUGUUUUUCUUAUACAUGAAGGCUUCAGCGAACUGUAGGCUCCCUCUUUAUGUUUUUUGUUUGUUUGUUUUGUUUUUUAACUUUAUUUUUAGGAUAGGUCUUUUGAGAUUAGCUGUCUUGUUUUCAACAGUAUAUUAAGAUAAAACAAAAAAAAAAACGAGCUUCAUAAAUCUGAUCUAGUUGGGCUUUUUGACAGUUGCAGCAUUUUUAUCAAAGAAAACUGUUUCUUUUACACCUCUUGUUGUACUAUGCUGUUUUAAUCAAAGGUUGUAACAUCCGCUUGUGCUGUUAGAAGUUAAUGUACAGUAAAUAACUACAACGGUGCAACCAUAUAAAACAUGAAUAAACAUUGCACCUUAGUGCCAGACCUACCCACCUAAUGAAGGGUAUUCCACUGUAAACUGUUUUAUCAUUCUGAUUGGUUAGCACAUGAUGUAGUUUUCUGUUAGUUUCAGUAUUCAGUGACAUGCCUGUUUCAUACCUGACAACAAAAAACAGGCACAAAAAUCUUGGUAAGAUGUGAGUUGUUUUUCAUUUUUAUCACAUUUUAUUUUGCUAUAUUUGUAAGAUAUUUCUUUUCAUUGGUGCUUUGUUCGAGUGCAAUAAAGUCAAACCCCCCCCCGCCCCCCCCACCCAAGACAUAGUUGGUUGAAUAACAAGGUUUGUAAUAGCUUUCAGGGCUAAGCCAGCCUCCUGGUGUCUCUCUUGGGCUCUCGUGUGUUGCUUUAACUUGACCAUGGUCAUUGUACAAUAAUGAUGAUCAUACCCAAUGUACUGUACAUUGUACC